rnacentral:lncRNA from 1 species
ACGGAUAUAUCCUUCAGAAAUUUUGCGUAAUCAACGGUGUAAUUCUGAUAUAUAUAUAUAUACAAAGAAUCUCAUUUUAUGUGGUACACUUUAUUUUUUAAUUUGCCUAAGUGAAAGACAUAUUUUCUUAGAAGGAAAAGAGUGGAUAAUUAAAGACAUGUAACGGUGGAUUGCCCAACAUGGUGAAAUUGUGAGAUUGACAAGAAAGAAUAUUUAUUUUUCCAACUUCCAAAUCACUUUUAUAAUCAAACAACUCUAGGACAAAAUCAUUAUACUCAAAGUGAAACAUCUCUUCCAUAAAUUAAAAGUCAUUCGUUUAGUCAUCUUUGUAAUCCCAUAUUACUGCAUGUUUGCUCCCUCCACAACAAAGCAAUUGCCUAAUAGCACAAACAACUUUCUCCCGACAGCCACAAGUCUUAUUAACAACUCCUUUCUCGUCCAUUUUGAUUUUCUUCAUCUUCUCCUUGUGAUGUUUCUGCAUUACAUGAAUUUCAGCAACUUGUGACAUGGCUCUCUGUUUUUGCUGACCGUUGCUCUCCUUUAUAAGCGCUUGAGUACUUGGGAAAUGGAAGUCUCAGUUCUUACUAAUUUUUCAAGAAAGUCAAUUAAUACUCUAUUUUCUG